UACAGAGGUGCCAAGCGUUAGGCGGAAUCACUGGGCUUAAAGCGCGUGUAGGCGGGUCGUUAAGUGUCUUGUGAAAUCCCACGGCUCAACCGUGGAACUGCUGGGCCUACUGACGAUCUUGAGGCACUCAGGGGCUGUCGGAACAAAUGGUGGAGCGGUGAAAUGCGUAGAUAUCAUUUGGAACGCCAACGGUGAAAACAGACAGCUGGGGGUGUCCUGACGCUGAGACGCGAAAGCCAGGGGAGCGAACGGG
rnacentral:rRNA from 1 species